rnacentral:rRNA from 1 species
AGUCUGACCUGCCCUAUGAUAUAAAAUUAAAUGGCCGCGAUAAUUUGAUCGUGCAAAGGUAGCAUAAUAAUUAGUUUCUUAAUUAGGAACUGGAAUGAAAGGUUGAACGAAAAAAUAACUGUCUCAGUUUAAAUUUAAUUAGAAUUUUAUUUUUAAGUUAGAAAGCUUAAAUAAAUUUUAAAGACGAGAAGACCCUAUAGAGUUUUAUAUUUAUUUAUUUAUUUUUUAUUUUAAGAAUUAAAAUUUGAGAUCUAUAAUAUAAGUAUUUAAUUGGGGUGAUUAAAAAAUUUAAUAAACUUUUUUUUUAUUAAAACAUUGGUUUAUGAUUAGUUGAUCCAUAUAUAAUGAUUAAAAGAUUAAAUUACCUUAGGGAUAACAGCGUAAUUUUUUUUGAGAGUUCUUAUCGAAAAAAUAGAUUGCGACCUCGAUGUUGGAUUAAAAUUAAUUUAUGGUGUAGAAGCUAUAUAAAUUAGUCUGUUCGACCUUUAAAAUUUU